GCCUCCGACCCUGGAUAGUCGCCGUCAGGCACUGAGGAGGCCGAGAGAUGAGGCCGGAGCCCACCAAGUUCUGGGAAGUUCUUUCUGACACAAGUAAGAUAACAUCUCUGCCAUGAAUACUUUGCAAGUAUCAAGAUGUGGAUGGCGGCCGGGUGCAGUGGCUCAUGCCUGUAGUCCCAGCACUUUGGGAGGCUGAGAUGGGUGGAUCAGUUGAGCUCAGGAGUUCAAGACCAGCCUGGCCAACAUGGUGAAACCCCGUUUCUACUAAAAGUACAAAAAUUAGCAGCGCAUGUGGCGUUCACCUGUAAUCCCAGCUUCUCAGGCGGCUGAAGCAGGAGAAUCGCUUGAACCCAGGAGAUGGAGGUUGCAGUGAACAGAGAUCACGCCACUGGAGUCUUACUCACUCCAGCCUGGGCAACAGACCCACAGGUGCUGAGAACAAGAGAAAUCAAGUGAAGGAAGGAGGCGGAGUUUCCAAGACUUGGGUGUCAUCAUUUCUGGGGACAUCCUUGAUUGGAGAUUGAAGUUUUUGAACCGAAAU
rnacentral:lncRNA from 10 species